UCCUUGUGUUUGCGUGUGUGCAUGCAAGU
rnacentral:piRNA from 1 species